UACGUAGGGCGCGAGCGUUGUCCGGAAUCAUUGGGCGUAAAGAGCUCGUAGGCGGCCUGUCGCGUCUGCUGUGAAAUCCCGGGGCUUAACCCCGGGCGUGCGGUGGAUACGGGCUGGCUGGAGGCAGGCAGGGGAGAACGGAAUUCCCGGUGUAGCGGUGAAAUGCGCAGAUAUCGGGAGGAACACCGGUGGCGAAGGCAGCUCGCUGGGACGGUACUGACGCUGAGGCGCGAAAGCGUGGGGAGCAAACAGG
rnacentral:rRNA from 1 species